rnacentral:rRNA from 1 species
CGAACGGGUGAGUAACACGUGAGGAACCUGCCCCGGAGACUGGGAUAACCCGAGGAAACUCGAGCUAAUACCGGAUAUCUUCUUUUGAUCGCAUGGUUGGAUGAAGAAAGAAUUUCGCUUUGGGAGGGCCUCGCGGCCUAUCAGUUUGUUGGUGGGGUAAUGGCCUACCAAGACUUCGACGGGUAGCUGGUCUGAGAGGACGAUCAGCCACACUGGGACUGAGACACGGCCCAG